rnacentral:rRNA from 1 species
AGUCGAACGAUGAAGCCCUUCGGGGUGGAUUAGUGGCGAACGGGUGAGUAACACGUGGGCAAUCUGCCCUGCACUCUGGGACAAGCCCUGGAAACGGGGUCUAAUACCGGAUACGAGCCUCCCGGGCAUCUGGGAGGUUGGAAAGCUCCGGCGGUGCAGGAUGAGCCCGCGGCCUAUCAGCUUGUUGGUGAGGUAACGGCUCACCAAGGCGACGACGGGUAGCCGGCCUGAGAGGGCGACCGGCCACACUGGGACUGAGACACGGCCCAGACUCCUACGGGAGGCAGCAGUGGGGAAUAUUGCACAAUGGGCGAAAGCCUGAUGCAGCGACGCCGCGUGAGGGAUGACGGCCUUCGGGUUGUAAACCUCUUUCAGCAGGGAAGAAGCGAAAGUGACGGUACCUGCAGAAGAAGCGCCGGCUAACUACGUGCCAGCAGCCGCGGGUAAUUCA